UACGAAGGGGGCUAGCGUUGUUCGGAAUCACUGGGCGUAAAGGGCGCGUAGGUGGUCUGAUAAGGGUGUGGUGAAAGCCCGGGGCUCAACCCCGGGUCGGCCGUGCCGACUGUUAGACUAGAGUACUGUAGGGGCAGGCGGAAUUCCGGGUGUAGCGGUGGAAUGCGUAGAGAUCCGGAGGAAGACCGGUGGCGAAGGCGGCCUGCUGGGCAGUUACUGACACUGAGGCGCGACAGCGUGGGGAGCAAACAGG
rnacentral:rRNA from 1 species